AACAGGAUUAGAUACCCUGGUAGUCCACGCUGUAAACGAUGUCGACUUGGAGGUUGUGCCCUUGAGGCGUGGCUUCCGGAGCUAACGCGUUAAGUCGACCGCCUGGGGAGUACGGCCGCAAGGUUAAAACUCAAAUGAAUUGACGGGGGCCCGCACAAGCGGUGGAGCAUGUGGUUUAAUUCGAUGCAACGCGAAGAACCUUACCUACUCUUGACAUCCAGAGAAUUUGCUAGAGAUAGCUUAGUGCCUUCGGGAACUCUGAGACAGGUGCUGCAUGGCUGUCGUCAGCUCGUGUUGUGAAAUGUUGGGUUAAGUCCCGCAACGAGCGCAACCCUUAUCCUUUGUUGCCAGCGAGUCAUGUCGGGAACUCAAAGGAGACUGCCGGUGAUAAACCGGAGGAAGGUGGGGAUGACGUCAAGUCAUCAUGGCCCUUACGAGUAGGGCUACACACGUGCUACAAUGGCAUAUACAAAGAGAAGCGAACUCGCGAGAGCAAGCGGACCUCAUAAAGUAUGUCGUAGUCCGGAUUGGAGUCUGCAACUCGACUCCAUGAAGUCGGAAUCGCUAGUAAUCGUAGAUCAGAAUGCUACGGUGAAUACGUUCCCGGGCCUUGUACACACCGCCCGUCACACCAUGGGAGUGGGUUGCAAAAGAAGUAGGUAGCUUAACCUUCGGGAGGGCGCUUACCACUUUGUGAUUCAUGACUGGGGUGAAGUCGUAACAAGGUAACC
rnacentral:rRNA from 1 species